ensembl:lncRNA
GGGUGAGAGGCUUGGGGGUUCCAGCUAGAGACCUGGAAAAGCUGCGUGGAAAGCAUCUUCACAGUCGAAGGGUUCUAGGGAAACCAGAGUAAGCACUGACUCUACUGGGGAAAGGGUGCUCUGUGCUCUUGAGUGUCGGUCCCAUAGCUCUCCUCAGUGCCUCUGCAUGCCAAGAGGUAGCUCUAGGUCACUUGAUUCAUGUUCCGCUGGGCCACUUCCUCCUGGGGAUGUCUUGCAGGAUCUCACCUAGGUUAGGGCUAUUGAGGCUCCAUUUCUACUUGCAACAGCGAAAGCGUCACUACAGUGUCUGCCCAUUCUAGCCAGCAGCAUGGGAGUCAGACGUGCCAAGGAAGGUGGAGAUUUGGGCUUGUCCAGGGGUCAGCCAUGUUGCAAGCCCUCAUGUUUAUAGCAGCAGUACAGUGAAAACUACUGUUUUGUGAAGUCAAAUAUUUGCUGGGGGGUUGGAGUUAUGGGGUGGAGGAGGGGCUGUUCUGGGCAUCAGUUGAGCAGAUGCCCAGGAUGCCUGGGGGAGACCAGCUUCCCCUACAAAUCAGAGCUCUAAAUUACAAGGUUUUUACCAACGCGAACAGUUGGGGGAAGUCGUCUGCUCUCAUUUGCGUAAUGGUUUCUGUCACUGGUGAUUAGACACAGGAUGAAGGAAAAGAAAUUUGACAAUUAGGAAUGAGCCAUCAUUAAUCUGAAUCUGUUAGGAGACAGAGAAGGGAAGGAUCCUUACUAGUGGGCCAGCCCAGUAUGGGGAGACACUCCCUAUCUCUAACCCCAGAAUCUUCUGGGCCAAGUACCCUUUUGGGGUUCCCACAAGUGUGGGUAGAGUUUGCAUGCCUUCAUAGACUAGGAGUCCAGUCCCAGCUUGAGAUGGAUUUGCAAACAGACAUCUUUCUGCAUGAGCCAGUGAAGUUAUUGUAGAUAAGUAAGUGGUGGGCACAAGCCCUGGGACAGUAGCAGUAGGCUAGUUGUGAUGUGUGCUUAGUUACAGGAAGUGUUUCUGUAGUAGUCGACACUGUUGCGCUCCACCUGUGGCAAGGUUCUGUCACUUCCCAGCACUUGACCUUGUGCGAGAAACCUGAUCUUUAUCAAACCCCAGACACUAGUGGAAGUUGGAAAGGAAACCAUAUGAAGAGUAGCAGAGCCUAGGUGUGUGUAAGGAGGGGCUGUGAGGAAGAGCAGUGCACACAGGCUGUCAGGAGGAGACUCAUCCUCAAGCCUCAGCAUUGACUUACUCUGGAUCAGUGGGCCAUUGCUGUGGGGAGCAUUGAGGUUCCUGGCUCAGUGAGUGACCCAGUGAUGUGUGGAGAAUCCAACUUAGAUCUUCCAGUGUUUGAGACUUACCUCACCACUCACCCCGUCCCUUCAAAAGCCUACGAGUAUUAAUCUGUACCAAGUAGUAGUCCUUACCAUUAGUGUGUUCCUUAGACCCCAGGCCCCUCAAGGCUUGGGGGAGGGGCUCCUCUGUCUCCUUUCCUGAUGUGAACUUGUCAAGGAUGGUGCUAUCUCAGUCCUUGGUAAGUCCCUACCUCUGUUGUCGUUCAUCCACCAGACUUGGUGCAGAAUUUAGCAAGGGCUACCAGCAGGGACCCUCUGCCAGUUUUACCUAGAUGGGCAGGUGUGGGGAUGGUAGAAGUAGUCAGGGUUCUGGAGGCCCAGGCCUUUCCAGUUCCUCUUCCUCUUGGUGUCCUCUUAACCCAUCUCUUAAGUGGAUCCUUGAGCUUUCUCCUACCCAGGCUCUCAGUGGCUUCUUUACCAAGGCUCUUCUCCUCAAAGAAGCUCUCUGGUUCCAAGUGCUGGACAGCUUGGCUGGAGGAUCCCUCUCCACUGGGCUUCUCCCUGUCCCUGCUUCACCUCUGACCUCAGGUAGCUCUGUUGCCCUGUGUCCUCCUCUGCCCUCACCAUCCAUUGUCUUUCCGUGCUGGUUCACUGUCUCCCUCUGGCGGCUCCUCCUUCAGCCAGCUCUGUUUAGUUAGAGACACAUAGGGAGCCCAGUUGAGCAGAAACUUUUGGGAUGUUUCCGGAGGAACAGGCUCAGAAACUGGUGUCCUCGAGGUCCAUGGGCCUGAGAUUACUGAUGCCUUGGAGACAACUGGGGAGGGACCUGGAGAGUGAAGGACUUAGUGAGGAGACAGAGAGGCCAGGCUUGGGAGACUAGGGUGGCAGGAGCCAGCUCUGUGUUUCCAUCUGAGUGUGUCCUCGUGCCUUAGGGUCCAGCAGUUCAGGGAUGAGGGAUGUUUUCUGAAUGUCUCCUAAUUUCUCUCAGGUCUUUGGCUCAGUGUCACCAAAUUUGACAGACCCCUACAUUCCUGAGCUUUCUAGAAGGGAAGCAGCAUGUUGAGUAGUCUGGUGUCAAGAGUGGAGGCCUCCGGUGAGAAAGGGUGGAUGGUAGAGGCCAAGGAGAGGCCCCAGGGGUCAGCUUGUCCCCAUGACUCCAUUCCUCCAAGAGAAUAAGUUCUAUAGUUGAUUCAAGAAGUUAUUCUAAAACUGCCCACCCUCCUCACCUAAAAUCUGUUCUCAUUUUGGGAAGGAAUAUGUGUCCUUAAUUUUCAAGGGAAAAGUCUAGUGUUUAAAAGCAUGUGUCUGGGGUCUAGUCCCUUUGGUACAUUUCUAGCUUGCUACUUACCAGCUGGGUUUGACAUUGGUUGAUUCUUUUAACCUGAGUCUCAGUUUCCUUUACUAUAAUGACUUGUGGGGGUGGGGGUUUGAAAAUAUCUACCUCAGGGUUGCUGGAUUAACUGAAAUAAUGUCUGUAAAGCUUUAGCACAGUGCCUGGCAAGCACUUAAUAAAUGGCUGUGG